rnacentral:rRNA from 1 species
UACGAAGGGUGCAAGCGUUACUCGGAAUUACUGGGCGUAAAGCGCGCGUAGGCGGCUUUGCAAGUCGAGUGUGAAAUCCCCAGGCUUAACCUGGGAACUGCAUUCGAGACUGCAUAGCUAGAGUAUGGGAGAGGGAAGUGGAAUUUCAGGUGUAGCGGUGAAAUGCGUAGAUAUCUGAAGGAACAUCAGUGGCGAAAGCGACUUCCUGGACCAAUACUGACGCUCAUGUGCGAAAGCGUGGGGAGCAAACAGG